CCUACGGGAGGCAGCAGUGAGGAAUAUUGGUCAAUGGGCGCGAGCCUGAACCAGCCAAGUCGCGUGAGGGAUGAAGGUUCUAUGGAUUGUAAACCUCUUUUAUAAGGGAAUAAAGUGUGGCACGUGUCGUAUUUUGUAUGUACCUUAUGAAUAAGGAUCGGCUAACUCCGUGCCAGCAGCCGCGGUAAUACGGAGGAUCCGAGCGUUAUCCGGAUUUAUUGGGUUUAAAGGGUGCGUAGGCGGCCUUUUAAGUCAGCGGUGAAAGUUUGUGGCUCAACCAUAAAAUUGCCGUUGAAACUGGGGGGCUUGAGUGUGUGUGAGGUAGGCGGAAUGCGUGGUGUAGCGGUGAAAUGCAUAGAUAUCACGCAGAACCCCGAUUGCGAAGGCAGCCUACCAAGCCAUGACUGACGCUGAUGCACGAAAGCGUGGGGAUCAAACAGGAUUAGAUACCCCUGUAGUC
rnacentral:rRNA from 1 species